rnacentral:rRNA from 1 species
CACGUAGGGCGCAAGCGUUGUCCGGAAUUAUUGGGCGUAAAGCGCUCGUAGGCGGUCUGUUGCGUCCGCUGUGAAAACUCGGGGCUUAACCCCGAGCCUGCAGUGGAUACGGGCAGACUAGAGGUAGGUAGGGGAGAAUGGAAUUCCCGGUGUAGCGGUGAAAUGCGCAGAUAUCAGGAAGAACACCAAUGGCGAAAGCAGCUCUCUGGGACGGUACUGACGCUGAGACGCGAAAGCGUGGGGAGCGAACAGG